AGCGAACGCUGGCGGCGUGCUUAACACAUGCAAGUCGAACGUGAAAUGUAGCAAUACAGAGUAAAGUGGCGUACGGGUGAGUAACACGUGGGUAAUCUACCAAAGAGCCUGGAAUAACCGACCGAAAGGUUGGCUAAUACUGGAUAGUUCAAAUGAAAUAUAAUGUUUCGAUUGGGAAAGGGAGCGAGCAAUCGCCUUCACUUUUUGAUGAGCCCGCGUCUGAUUAGCUAGUUGGUAGGGUAAUGGCCUACCAAGGCGACGAUCAGUAGCUGGUCUGAUAGGAUGAUCAACCACACUGGAACUGAAACACGGUCCAGACUCCUACGGGAGGCAGCAGUGGGGAAUCUGGCGCAAUGGACGAAAGUCUGACGCAGCCACGCCGCGUGAGUGAAGAAGGCCUUCGGGUUGUAAAGCUCUGUCGGAAGGGACAAAAACGUUUAAGGUUAAUAGCCUUAGAUCUUGAUGGUACCUUCAAAGGAAGCACCGGCUAACUUCGUGCCAGCCGCCGCCGUAA
rnacentral:rRNA from 1 species